GUUAUCUCACGCUGUUUUCAUCCAUUGGCUGCUUGUAUGGUGCAUCCACAGGGGGACACAUCUCAAAGAACAAUCAUUACUGCACAGGGUAUACCUCGUGGAAGGAUGACAGCUGCUGCGGAGGACAUGCUUUACUCUCUGAGACCAGUUAGGAGAGCACUGCUCCAAAACUCUGUCUUCUGCUGAGGAUGAUAGAAAAGGAACUGAGGGGACCCACACUGUGUGCACAACUAAUGGACGAAAACAGCACAAGACGGUGGCUAAAUCUAAAAUCUAAGGCUAAAAAUCUCUGAUUGCUGUCAUGAAGAUGCAGCAACAUCAGAGUGGAGCACCCACAGA